rnacentral:rRNA from 1 species
AGCGGAACGAGUUAUCUGAACCUUCGGGGAACGAUAACGGCGUCGAGCGGCGGACGGGUGAGUAAUGCCUAGGAAAUUGCCCUGAUGUGGGGGAUAACCAUUGGAAACGAUGGCUAAUACCGCAUGAUGCCUACGGGCCAAAGAGGGGGACCUUCGGGCCUCUCGCGUCAGGAUAUGCCUAGGUGGGAUUAGCUAGUUGGUGAGGUAAGGGCUCACCAAGGCGACGAUCCCUAGCUGGUCUGAGAGGAUGAUCAGCCACACUGGAACUGAGACACGGUCCAGACUCCUACGGGAGGCAGCAGUGGGGAAUAUUGCACAAUGGGCGCAAGCCUGAUGCAGCCAUGCCGCGUGUGUGAAGAAGGCCUUCGGGUUGUAAAGCACUUUCAGUCGUGAGGAAGGUGGUGUUGUUAAUAGCUGCAUUAUUUGACGUUAGCGACAGAAGAAGCACCGGCUAACUCCGUGCCAGCAGCCGCGGUAAUACGGAGGGUGCGAGCGUUAAUCGGAAUUACUGGGCGUAAAGCGCAUGCAGGUGGUUUGUUAAGUCAGAUGUGAAAGCCCGGGGCUCAACCUCGGAAUAGCAUUUGAAACUGGCAGACUAGAGUACUGUAGAGGGGGGUAGAAUUUCAGGUGUAGCGGUGAAAUGCGUAGAGAUCUGAA